rnacentral:rRNA from 1 species
GAUGAACGCUGGCGGCGUGCCUAAUACAUGCAAGUCGAGCGAACAGACGAGGAGCUUGCUCCUCUGACGUUAGCGGCGGACGGGUGAGUAACACGUGGAUAACCUACCUAUAAGACUGGGAUAACUUCGGGAAACCGGAGCUAAUACCGGAUAAUAUAUUGAACCGCAUGGUUCAAUAGUGAAAGACGGUUUUGCUGUCACUUAUAGAUGGAUCCGCGCCGCAUUAGCUAGUUGGUAAGGUAACGGCUUACCAAGGCAACGAUGCGUAGCCGACCUGAGAGGGUGAUCGGCCACACUGGAACUGAGAUACGGUCCAGACUCCUACGGGAGGCAGCAGGAGGGAAUCUUCCGCAAUGGGCGAAAGCCUGACGGAGCAACGCCGCGUGAGUGAUGAAGGUCUUCGGAUCGUAAAACUCUGUUAUUAGGGAAGAACAAAUGUGUAAGUAACUAUGCACGUCUUGACGGUACCUAAUCAGAAAGCCACGGCUAACUACGUG